AAUGGCACGGUCACCUUAAAGAGAGAAAACAACCACCAGCGGCGGCUCCUUUCGGAAUCCUGGCACAUCCAGAAG
rnacentral:lncRNA from 1 species